rnacentral:rRNA from 1 species
GACGAACGCUGGCGGCGUGCUUAACACAUGCAAGUCGAACGGAAAGGCCCUGCUUUUGUGGGGUGCUCGAGUGGCGAACGGGUGGGUAACACGUGAGUAACCUGCCCUUGACUUUGGGAUAACUUCAGGAAACUGGGGCUAAUACCGGAUAGGAGCUCCUGCUGCAUGGUGGGGGUUGGAAAGUUUCGGCGGUUGGGGAUGGACUCGCGGCUUAUCAGCUUGUUGGUGGGGUAGUGGCUUACCAAGGCUUUGACGGGUAGCCGGCCUGGGAGGGUGACAGGCCCCAUUGGGACUGAGAUGCGGGCAAGAGUCCUACGGGAGGCAGCAGUGGGAGAUAGUGCACAAUGGGCGGAAGCCGUAUGCAGCAACGCCGCGUGCGAGAUGACGGCCUUCGGGUUGUAAACCGCGUUCGCCUGUGACGAAGCGUGAGUGACGGUAAUGGGUAAAGAAGCACCGGCUAACUACGUG